AACCUUGAGCAGAGAGCUUGUCUUGGUUCCUUCCAUAUCUCGAGCAGCCUAGCCCUUCUUCUCUUCCAGGUUUCCAACAUGCCUUUCCAGCCUAGGACCCAAAACAUGUGGUCGGCAGGCCGGACACAACAAUAUAUAUCCAUCCCCUGGAAUUUAUUCUUUGGUAUGGUACACAGGGAUAAGUGUACAUUCUGAGUUUUCCUCUGUUUUGUUUCUUUCCCCACAGAGCUACAGUAAUGUCUUCAUGGGUCAAGUCUCCAUAUGCAUACGAUCCAUUCUGGAACUUUCUACUCUGGGUCUAUCAUUUGAGCUGUGAGCUAUUCUGAGAACAAGUCUGGCUUUCUGCUGGGGCCUGACACACCAACAGAAGCUCAGGCACCAUGGUAACAGCCCCAAGAACAAGGCUCUUGACUUUAAAGCUUCCCAAGUGCUGGCAUUACAAGUGUGAACCACUGUGCCCAGUAAGUGAGUAAGUGCUGAAGCCCAGCCUCACACCACUUCUCUGACAUCUGCUGGAUAAAGCAGUUUGGGACCCAUUCCAGGUUCAAGAAGGCAGCAUGGGAUUCUGUUUGGAGAUGGAAGACAGCUGAUCCUGGUGUGCAUGUGAAUAGCAUCCACUGUGUCUGGCACCACUCACGCAGCACAAACUGAUAAAUGACUCAUUCCUGGGACUGGAGAAAAGGGGCCCCCUAUAAAUAACUUGGGGUCUUUAUAAAUAUAUUGUGACUUUAGUGGCACAUGGGCAUAUUAAAGUCAUAUUUUAAAAGCCAAAUUCAGGAGCUUAUGGGGCAUAGGAGACAAAUGAAAAGCCCCUCAUCCAGGCCUCUGCAAAGAUUUAGUCACCUGACCUGAGAUGAUCCCCAGUCACCUGACCACCUGGUGUGUCAUCUAACCACCUGGUGUAUAUAUCAAGAGAUUGCCAGUCAGAGAACUCCUAACUGUCCUUGGGGCUUUGGCUUCAGCUCGGUUUAGUCCCUGCCAGUGACACUAUCUACUCAAAGGCCAUCUGCCUAUCCUCUUCCUCUGUUUGUCCACAUGGACCAUGAUGUCCACUCAUCUCCCCAUUCAUUUGUCUGGACUCAGGCCUGCCCCUUUGCCUCUGUGCCGGACUCAACUCUGCAGCUGCACUCAGUGGCAGCAAGCACACCGCAUACCACCAUCUCCAUGGGCUUCCGCAGAGACCGCCUGGCUGGUUUAUUUCACUCCCACAGACUCUUACAUUCCUAUCCAUUUCUACACUUUUUGUUUGUUUUGUUUUGUUUUUUGAGACAGGGUUUCUCUGUACAGCCCUGGCUAUCUUGGA